CGGUAGCAUAUCUGCAACGACGACAGAGGAUCAGCAUCAAAAAAAAAAAGAUCUAGGCAGGGAAUCGAGCUGAGACCGGCGUCAUACAGGGCCUGCUCGGUGACGAGCUCCUUCUGCUUCGGCAUCGAGAUGUCCUUCAGACGGUGGAAGUCUUCCCGAUCCCCGACCUCCACCCGACUGUUCUCGUUUGGUUGGGUUCGGGGGUCCUCCCAGCGGGAAGAAAAUUCCCAA
rnacentral:lncRNA from 1 species